rnacentral:rRNA from 1 species
ACUCCUACGGGAGGCAGCAGUGGGGAAUAUUGCACAAUGGGGGAAACCCUGAUGCAGCCAUGCCGCGUGUGUGAAGAAGGCCUUCGGGUUGUAAAGCACUUUCAGUAGGGAGGAAGGUAGUGUAGUUAACACCUGCAUUAUUUGACGUUACCUACAGAAGAAGCACCGGCUAACUCCGUGCCAGCAGCCGCGGUAAUACGGAGGGUGCGAGCGUUAAUCGGAAUUACUGGGCGUAAAGCGCAUGCAGGCGGCCUGUUAAGUCAGAUGUGAAAGCCCGGGGCUUAACCUCGGAAUUGCAUUUUGAAACUGGCGAGGCUAGAGUCUUGUUAGAGGGGGGUAGGAAUUUACUAGGUGUAGCGGUGAAAGUAGCGUAGAGAUCUGAAGGAAUACCAGUGGCGAAGGCGGCCCCCGUCGGACAAA